UACAGAGGUGGCAAGCGUUGUUCGGAAUUACUGGGCGUAAAGGGCGCGUAGGCGGUUCGUUAAGUCCUGUGUGAAAUCCCCCCGGCUCAACUGGGGAACUGCGCAGGAAACUAGCGGGCUUGAGUUCGGGAGAGGGAAGCGGAAUUCCGGGUGUAGCGGUGGAAAUGCGUAGAUAUCCGGAGGAACACCGGUGGCGAAGGCGGCUUCCUGGACCGACACUGACGCUGAGGCGCGAAAGCUAGGGGAGCAAACGGGAUUAGAUACCGACGAGUCGAGACCAGUACCCA
rnacentral:rRNA from 1 species